rnacentral:rRNA from 1 species
UACGUAGGGUGCAAGCGUUGUCCGGAAUUAUUGGGCGUAAAGAGCUCGUAGGCGGCUAGUCGCGUCGGCUGUGAAAACCUGGGGCUCAACCCCGGGCCUGCAGACGAUACGGGCUAGCUAGAAUUCGGUAGGGGAGACUGGAAUUCCUGGUGUAGCGGUGAAAUGCGUAGAGAUCCGGAGGAACACCGACGGCGAAGGCAGCGCCCUGGCCGCCAUCUGACGCUCAGGCACGAAAGCUGGGGGAGCGAACAGG